rnacentral:rRNA from 1 species
GAGGGAGCCUGARAAACGGCUACCACAUCCAAGGAAGGCAGCAGGCGCGCAAAUUACCCAAUCCCGACACGGGGAGGUAGUGACAAUAAAUACUGAUACAGGGCUCUUUUGGGUCUUGUAAUUGGAAUGAGUACAAUUUAAACCCCUUAACGAGGAACAAUUGGAGGGCAAGUCUGGUGCCAGCAGCCGCGGUAAUUCCAGCUCCAAUAGCGUAUAUUAAAGUUGUUGCAGUUAAAAAGCUCGUAGUUGAAACUUGGGCCUGGCUGGC